rnacentral:lncRNA from 1 species
CCCUACCCUCCAGCCACACGUAGAGGGCCACAGACAAUUCAUAAAUGAAUCAGCACCACUCUGUUCCAGUAAAACUUUAUAACAACAGCUGGACUAGGUCCGUGGGCAGGACUUUAUUUACCAAGCCGGUUUUAGAUCUCAGCAUCUCGGUUCUCCUACAUCUCAGCUUCAUGCCCUGGAUUAUUUUAGUUGCUUUCUGAGGUUUCCUGCUCCAUUGUGUCUUCCUGGGGUUCCAGCAGGCACAUUGCAAACUGAACAGACCAUGUGUUACAUGAGCAUAACAUCUUCUGCUAGCUUUCCUGUCUGUGUCCAGGGUUUCGUUGAUUUUUGCACCGUGUAGUUGCUUGUUUGCGGGAAGUGAUGUUCCAGUGGCUGUUGGAUUUCUUUGUAUCUAUGUUGUAAUCCAUAGCAUGGGGGAGCCUGUCAUCCUUAAUAUAUUUUGCGUUAUUUUCUUACUAUUUCAUUUGCCUCUGUUGAGGCUCAGCUUCCAGACUCACAGCAUUGUUCUUUUAGAUUUAUUGGAUUUAUGGCUGUCAGUUAGCAGAGCUAAAUGCGAUCAGUGAAUCUGGAGAUGCGCCCAAGUUCUUUCUUUGCAAAUCAUUUGUAAGAAUGAUAGGACCAAUCUUACCAUUAACUUCUGUGUUCUCUUCUGUCUGCCCUUCUCUUUCCAGAACUGUACACAUUUAGUCAGACUCUUUGUUACUGUCUUUCUGGGCUGCUUUUCUAUUUCUUCUGAAACAUUCCCAAAUCUGUCGUGAUUCAGUCUUUUAAAUAACAAAAACUUAAGUAAAAGUAACAAUUUUUUAAAAUAUAUAUAUUUUAGGUCCACACAUGCAGCAUGUGAAAGUUCCCAGGCUAGGGGUCAGAUCAGAGCUACAGCUGCCAGCCUGUGCCACAGCCACAGCAAUGCCAGGUCCAAGGCCAAGGAUGGAACCUGCAUCCUCAUGGAUACUAGUCCGGUUCAUUACCACUGAGCCACAGUGGGAACUCUUGUAACAAUUAUAUUUUUUACACAACAUAUAUUCAGCAGUGUGCUGGGGGUAACAUCCCACUGGCUCCCACAGUCUUUUCUCCUUUUCAUGAGUCCCUAUAACUAGUGUCUUAUUUGAUAGUGAACCAUCCAAGCACCCAAACAAGUCAGUUUUCAUAGUGAAUGUUUUAUAAGGAAGUACAUUUUGCCAUAAGCUCCUGCUGUGAGCAAUUUUUUACUUGCCUUAUUGGUGAAAAGCGAAUAUCUCCUAGUUUUAUGACAACAUCUGUAUGAGAACAAAUUGUCACGGAAAGGGGAAGCAAACAUGCUCAUAGCUUUAAGCUUUUUGCAGUUUGAAAGUUUUGUAGCAACUUUCCUCAUUAUUACCUGUGAGUCCUGCUCUCCUUUCUCCUAAAAAAUAUGCACACCUAACACCCUGGACUGUCUUAAUUUAAGUAGAAACGUGUGCUCGGAAGCAAGUUGCUUGCAUGCAUACAAUCGCUUGUCUGGUAGCUAGUCACGUGCGAUAACCUAGUCUUAUUCUUUCCAAGAUUCAAUUGCUAGAGGUUGCCUGUGGCCAAGAGAAGGUUUUGCCACAUGAUGUGAAAAAUUCCUAGGAUGCCCUUCUGUUUUUCAUGGUGAAGGAUUUCAAGACAUGUUGUAUCUGCUUGUGUUAUACACAUGCUGUGGCCUCUUUUAGCACCAACUCAGUCCUUUGUUUAGUGAAAGUGGGGUGUGAAGAGCGAUGCUGGAAUAAAUCUGUAUUUCCUCGGGUGGGUCCGUGUUGAGUCUCGUCAACCCAGCAUCUCCACAAAGAGCUUGAAAAUCUGUGAAAAUCCAGUUAGUUCUCCUCGUUAAACAUCAAGACUUAUCUGCCCUGCUGUGUGCCUUUUACGUGAUAAAUGUGCCGCAACUCCUGCUUUAAUGUGAAGAGAAAGGCCAUGGUUUAGCCCUUGAGAAGAUUCUCACAUCAAUAGAUGGGUGCAGGAUGCUCAGAGGUACAGGCCGACUUAGUUGUGUUGGGUCCACUAGAAAGAGCACUUGUACAGAAGCUGAGACCCAAGCCCUCUGCUUGGAGGCUUUAAUCUAUUCAUUUACCCUCCAUACUUCCUUCUGCUGGCUGCUUGCUUUUGUUUUUAUGUGAGUGAAAGGAGAUAAUUCAGUUGGAAGGGGGUAAGAACAUGAAGCUGUGCAAAGAUGGUAAGAAUGCCAGUGUUCGUCCUGUGUCCCACGUGGACGUCGCACCAGCCGUGGAGGUGAAAGAAGUGGGGGUUCUGGCUGGCCCCUGGCCCCCUUAAAGAAAACUUGGCUUCUUUGCCUGCAUUUACCCCUUUAGACUGUCCUGGAAGUCAGCAGUCACCUGGAUGCCUCCCCACCCCCCGCCCCAUCCAGCCCUGGUAUAGACAGUAGGUGAUUGUGCUGCUAGACAACCUAAGGGCUGGGUCAUGGGCUUGCCUCGUCACAUCCCCCUGUCACAAGGCUGCUGCUUGGGAGGGACAUCUGGCCUGGUUCCUAGAUAACUGGCAAAAAGCGAGUUACAUACUUUGUGAAAAGGAAGCCCUUUGCAGGGUCCGCUGCUCCAUUUGUCCUCGAUGUGGGUCCGAACUGCACGUGUUUCUAAGGGGCUGAUGUAAGCGUCCGGGUGGCGUUUGACACCACUUCACUGCUCUAACAUUGCAGAAAGUAAAGUUAUCAGAUGAGCCCGUAGAAGCAAAAGAAGAUUACACUAAGUUUAACAGGAAAGAUCUGAAGACUGUAAAGAAAAAUAGCAAAAUGACUGCAUCUCAGAAGGCUUUGGCUAAAGUUGACAAGAGUGGAAUGAAAAGUAUCGAUUCCUUUUUUGGGGCAAAACUUGUUAAAAAAGUUGGAAAGAUCUGAAACUUUGAACAUGAAAUCUAGCAAAAACACUCGCCUUCUACAUGUUCCGUUUUCAUCCUUCCUCCAUGCCGUUGUACUUCCUGACCCUUAAUUGCCACCUUUGGGGGAAAAAGUACGAAUAAGGGGCAUUUUUCAGAGUCACUUGACCAUUUCUUUGUGUUCGAUUUCUGUGUUCCUAACAAAAUGUGGGAAAGUAAUGGUAUAACCUCAUGGCUUGUGGCCUUUGGAGUUUUAUUUGACAUCAUGAAAAAUAAUCAAGGGAAUAGAGUCAACCUCUGGCAUCGCAGGUUCCUCAAUAAACUGACGUGUGACAGUA